GCGUCUGAUUAGCUAGUUGGUGAGAUAAGAGCCCACCAAGAGAGACGAUCAGUAGCCGGCUUGAGAGAGUGACCGUCCACAUUGGGACUGAGACACGGCCCAAACUCCUACGGGAGGCAGCAGUGGGGAAUAUUGCACAAUGGGGGAAACCCUGAUGCAGCGACGCCGCGUGAGUGAAGAAGUGUUUCGGCAGGUAAAGCUCUAUCAGCAGGGAAGAAGAUGACGGUACCCGAGUAAGAAGCCCCGGCUAAAUACGUGCCAGCAGCCGCGGUAAUAUGUAGGGGGCAAGCGUUAUCCUGAUUUACUGGGUGUAAAGGGAGCGUAGGUGGCAGAUCAAGUCUGAUGUGAAAGCCCGUGGGUCAAAUCCGGGAUUGCAUUUGAAACUGGUCUGGUAGAGUGCAGGAGAGGUAAGUGGAAUUCUUAGUGUAGCGCUGAAAUGCGUAGAUAUUAGGAGGAACACCAGUGGGGAAGGCGGCUUACCGGACUGUAACUGACACUGAGGCUCGAAAGCGUGGGGAGCAAACACGAUUAGAUACCCCGGUAGUCCACGCCGUAAACGAUGAAUACUAGGUGUCGGGGGUCAAAAGACCUUCGGUGCCGUAGCAAACGCAUUAAGU
rnacentral:rRNA from 1 species